CAGUAGCCGCGGGAAUACGAGGGGGGCAAGCGUUGUUCGGAAUUAUUGGGCGUAAAGGGUGCGUAGGCGGCUUGACAAGUCUUGUGUGAAAUCCAUGGGCUCAACCCAUAGCCUGCACGAGAAACUACCGGGCUUGAGUAUUGGAGAGGUGAGUGGAAUUUCCGGUGUAGCGGUGAAAUGCGUAGAUAUCGGAAGGAACACCUGUGGCGAAAGCGGCUCACUGGACAAUAACUGACGCUGAUGCACGAAAGCUAGGGGAGCAAACAGGAUUAGAUACCCGAGUAGUCCCUGUCUCUUAUAC
rnacentral:rRNA from 1 species